rnacentral:snoRNA from 1 species
AGAUAAAUGAUGAGUUAAAUCCCAUUGAUUAAAAACCUGCUAUCAAAUACUUCAUUCUGGUGAUU